rnacentral:lncRNA from 1 species
AGCAACUGUGCCCUUCCUGGUGCAGCAAGGCACACAUGGCAUUCAGAGAUGUGGCUGUGGAUUUCAGCCAGGAAGAGUGGAUGCUGCUGAGCCCCGCUCAAGAUCCCUGUACAGGGAGGUGAUGCUGGAGAAACUACAGGCAACCUGGUCUCACUGGUGUAAGCCCUGGAAUCUCUAAUGGACUCAUGUCCCUGCUGCGGGGCAUUUUAGGCUGUGCUUGAAGCAGCCAUCUUGCUUUCCUGAGUUGGCCCUUGUGCCCCUAACCUACAGCCACCU